GGAGGAGAGAUGCUGCCGGCACCACUGCCUGUAGAGUCUGAUAGACGCUGUGGCAGAUGGCAGCAGCAGUAGCACACAGCAGCAGAGUCUCAGUGCAGGGAGAGCGCCUCUCUGAAGCCGGCGCCUCCCUGCUUUGCAGGCUCUGCUGAAUGGGCUGCGCCGGCUCUGCAACCAAGUGGGAAUAGUAUACCGUGCGAUUGUCAGGAUUCCGGGUGUGAGGACUUCACCAGGUGUCGGGAUUCCGGCGUUGGUCUCAUGAAGGCCGGGAUGCCCAUAGAUGGUAUAUUGACUGCAUCCCCUGAUAACAACAUGGUAACAGCUUUUCAUGGCAUCUUCCAGACCAUGUGAUUUCCUACAUGAAAAGUGAAUACUGACUAAAGACUGACCAGGGAGGAUACGUAUCUUCAGAGGUUCCCCAUUCCUCAGAGAAACCACCAUAAAGGUACCUAUGACUGAGAUGGAUUUUGCCAUCGGAGGCCGGCCCCCGCAUUCAGAUGUGCCCCGAUGAAGGAUACUACCUGCGAUAGACGACGUUUGUCUUCAUCGUAAAGUUUGUUCAUUGGGCUCUUCACCAGUUUUAGUCAUUGGUUUAAUUUAACUCUCCCAGAUCAAGAGAUAUGACAAACAAAUAC